UACAGAGAGUGCAAGCGUUAAUCGGAAUUACUGGGCGUAAAGCGCACGUAGGUGGAUUUUUAAGUCGAUUGUGAAAGCCCCGAGCUUAACUUGGGAAUUGCAUUCGAUACUGACUAUCUAGAGUAUGGUAGAGGGAAGUGGAAUUUCAGGUGUAGCGGUGAAAUGCGUAGAUAUCUGAAGGAACACCAGUGGCGAAAGCGGCUUCCUGGACUAAUACUGACACUGAGGUGCGAAAGCGUGGGGAGCAAACAGGAUUAGAUACCCGAGUAGUCC
rnacentral:rRNA from 1 species